CGCGCCUCGGGGAGCGGCCGGGUAGGAAGCGCGCCGAGAAGCAGCGGCAGAGGGAACGCCCCGGGGGACCCGACCGGGUCCUUAUUUAUGAAAAGAGAUGAUCACUAAGUGUUCCCUUCCAGUGCUGAAAUCAAUGUGAGGAAAUGCGUCCACGUAGUUAAACCUACACAAAUAAUGAUGCAAUCCUUCAACGAGACCGAGAAGUACAGUGAUGGGAUGCAUGUUGCAGAUGGGGUGUUUGGACAGCUUCUGACUACAGAAGCAAAGGCAUGGGGGUAUAGAGGCGGGGGGCAGGGGGGGCGGUGAACGAAGCAUGAAAUGUGAUUUGCAAGUUUCCAAGAUGGCGAUUUUAACUAUGAUGGGUAACCAGAGACCAGCUGCAAAAAUGUGGCAAAUAUAUUUUAAAAAUUUGGCCCUCACUCUAAUUUCAGGAUUAGAGUGCUGUUGCUGCUUCUGAAACCCUGAAAGAUUUCACAUUUCAGUUACUCCCAAGCAGCACAUCAUUUCUCAUGGCUUUUCUCAUUGCUAUUCUCUGAGUUAAUCGAGUGAGGGCUCUAACUUGUAGGUAUGAUGCUUAUAAAGCUACAAUCCAAGGGAUUCAGUCCAGGCAGCAUUGAGGUUAAAAAAAAUCCAUUCUAUACAAUUAAAAACAAUUUGAGAAAACUC